rnacentral:rRNA from 1 species
UGGUGCAUGGCCGUCGUCAGUUCGUACCGUAAGGCGUUCUGUUAAGUCAGAUAACGAACGAGACCCUCGUCCUUAAUUGCCAACCCAUUCUCCGGAGUGGGCGCACAUUAAGGGGACCGCUGGCGGCUAAGUCAGAGGAAGGAGAGGUCAACGGUAGGUCAGUAUGCCCCGAAUCUCCCGGGCUACACGCGCGCUACAAAGGACAGGACAAUGGGAUGCAAUACCGAGAGGUAACGCCAACCCGAAACCUGUUCGUAGUUCGGACUGAGGGCUGUAACUCGCCCUCACGAAGCUGGAUUCCGUAGUAAUCGCGGGUCAACAUCCCGCGGUGAAUAUGCCCUGCUCUUU